CUUCUAUAAGCAUUGUCAACAAGAGUACGUAUCCGUACAUAUUCUUCCUUCCUUGCCUUCUCUGAGAGUUUUGCAUUCUGCCUCUCCAUCCACCUCUUAUGUUCGCGAGACUCAGCUUGCUCAAGGUCAAACUCAUCAGCAUGUGGGAACUCUCUCCAGCUCUUAAAGCUGUACCAAAAAUCAUAAAAGUUUUCAACUUCUUUUAAGGGAGUGUUAUCAUCACCAAGAGAUGGGACUGGCUGGUUUACUGACCAUCGUCCAUUCCUCAUAAAUGCAGGACCAAACACCCUGAAGAAGUCGUGAGAUGCGCAGUCAGUGGGAAUUUCAUCAUCAAACUC
rnacentral:misc_RNA from 1 species